GCCACGCCUGCGACGGGACGAAAACAGGGCAAUCCUUACCCUGCUGGCGUGGCUCCUGAAUUAAGG
rnacentral:sRNA from 1 species